ACACAGAUGACGAGUUUCAAAUAGAACGAAACGCACGUCCUGAAU
rfam:Schistosoma margrebowiei strain Zambia genome assembly, scaffold: SMRZ_scaffold0005251